rnacentral:lncRNA from 1 species
AUUAAACUUGGGACUUUGAGCGUAGUGAUAAGUUUUCUUAACAAAUUGAGGCCUACAUCAAAUAAGAAAAAAAAAACACUACUAAUGCCAACAUCAAGAAGGAAAAAAACCAAUAGUUGGAGGAGGGAGGGAGGGGGAGCGGCGGAGGCCGGAGGGUGCUAGGUUGUGGCAAUGUUACAGCAAACCAUUUUGCCACACUAUCUAUAUAAGUUGAUUAAGGAUGAAUUGAAAUACCAUACCACAAAUACUUUUUAUAUUAUUGUUGCCCACACGCGCAUGGAUAAUUGUCAAUUGUGACAUAUAGUAAUCAUUCUUUAUAAGAUUUAUAUCAAUUAACAGUUGUGAGUUUUAACGCACAUUGCGGCAUGUGAAUGUAGGUAGUUGACAAGAUCCAAUGCAUUAACUAAUUGUCAUUUAUAUAUCGAAUCUAGACUGUACAAUAGAAUGAAAAAUAUUCAAAAUCAUUUAAAAUUCUUGUAGGUUUGUUUGACCCACCAAACGUUUUUACAAGAUUAAGUUAUCCACACAUACGUAUACAACUAUGAAAUACACUAGUAAUUCUUCAUGAGAUUCACAUCAUUCAUCCGAUGU